UACAGAGGGUGCAAACGUUGCUCGGAAUCAUUGGGCGUAAAGCGCACGUAGGCGGUUCGUUAUGUCGGAUGUGAAAGCCCUUGGCUUAACCGAGGAAGUGCAUCCGAAACUGGCGAGCUAGAGUACGAAAGAGGAUCGCGGAAUUCCCGGUGUAGAGGUGAAAUUCGUAGAUAUCGGGAGGAACACCAGUGGCGAAAGCGGCUCACUGGACCACAACUGACGCUGAGGCGCGAAAGCUAGGGGAGCAAACAGG
rnacentral:rRNA from 1 species